UUUAUACCCCGCCCAUCCGGCUGGGUUUCCCCAGCCACUCUGGGCGGCUUACAGCACAUAUAAAAACAUAGUAAAACAUUAUUUUAAAACAUAUAUUUAACGCUGUACUGUUUUUAACACUUGAUUGGCAGCCGCCCAGAGUGGCUGGGGAAGCUCAGCCAGAUGGGCGGGGUAUAAAUAAUAAAUUAUUAUUAUUAUUAUUAUUAUUAGGCAUUAAAAAUUUAAUGCAUUCAUCUCCUGUCCUAUAUAUACUGUAUAUAUAUCUCUCUCUAUGUGUAAUACUCUAUAUAUAUGCACAUAUAUUCACACACAGAGAGUUAAAAGCAGGUAUUAAAAGUAUUUUUUAAAAAGUGAUUAAAAUCAGCAGCAGCUGAAACACACACAAACCUAGUCUGUUCAGGUCUGGACAGGGCUUGUUAUUAUACUUAGCCAAAACUAUACAGUACACCUUGACCCUCCCGAGAAUAUAAAACAAAAAUUACAUUUUCUAUUAUUUUUCACAAGUCAGGCGCUGGGAUUAAAUAAUAUUUCAAGGAGAUGAAAACCACCAGCAGUUGAAAACAACGCCCCCCCCCAAAAAAUCACACACCCUCAGGAAUCGCUGAGGGAAGCUCGUGAGGGGAAGGACUACGCUUCCCAUGAUGCUCCGCGCGGCAGGGGAAAAAGGGCGGGAAAAGUCUCGACGGAGGCUGCGCGUGAGGGAAGGAGCCCUAGGCGCAUGCGCCAGGUUUGGGAAGGGAAAGAGGCGACGGAGAGGAGGAAGGAGGAGCGCAUGCGCCCGGCCGCCCCGCGCUGCUUUUUCCCGGCGGCCCUCGGGAGGUCUCCUCCUUGCCUGGCUUGGGCGCCGCUCUCUCUCUCUCUCUCUCUCUCUCUUCUCCUCAGGCCGCCGCGUAAAGCUUUUCCGGGUCUCCCCCCCUCUCUCUCUAGGCCCCGCCCCCUUUCCGCGACCCCUCCCCCACCCGCCGCUGGUGAUGUGAUGAGUCCGGAGCGGUUCCUCAGCAGGCUGCCUGCCUCUCCCUCCUGGAUGUGGCCCGUGGACCCGGGACCCUUCAGCUGA
rnacentral:lncRNA from 1 species